UACAGAGGCCCCAAGCGUUACUGAGAAUCACUGGGUUUAAAGGGUGCGUAGGUGGUCCGUUAAGUUCGUUGUGAAUCCGAUCGGUGCUCAACCCAGGAAAUGCUUCGAAUACUGGCGGACUUGAGGCUAGUAGAGGUCACUGGAACUGACGGUGGAGCGGUGAAAUGCGUAGAUAUCGUCAGGAACGCCGGUGGUGAAGACGGGUGACUGGCUAGUUCUGACACUGAGGCACGAAAGCGUGGGGAGCGAACGGG
rnacentral:rRNA from 1 species